GUGCCAGCAGCCGCGGUAAUACGGAAGGUCCGGGCGUUAUCCGGAUUUAUUGGGUUUAAAGGGAGCGCAGGCGGGAGGUUAAGCGUGACGUGAAAUGUCCCGGCUCAACCGGGGAGUUGCGUCGCGAACUGGCUUUCUUGAGUGCAGACGAGGUGGGCGGAAUUCGUGGUGUAGCGGUGAAAUGCUUAGAUAUCACGAAGAACUCCGAUUGCGAAGGCAGCCCACCAGGGUGUAACUGACGCUAAAGCUCGAAGGUGCGGGUAUCGAACAGGAUUAGAUACCCUGGUAGUCCGCACGGUAAACGAUGGAUGCCCGCUGUAUGCGAUACACUGUAUGCGGCCAAGCGAAAGCGUUAAGCAUCCCACCUGGGGAGUACGCCGGCAACGGUGAAACUCAAAGGAAUUGACGGGGGCCCGCACAAGCGGAGGAACAUGUGGUUUAAUUCGAUGAUACGCGAGGAACCUUACCCGGGCUUGAACUGCAGCCGGACGAUUCAGAGAUGAUGAGGUCCUUCGGGACGGCUGUGGAGGUGCUGCAUGGUUGUCGUCAGCUCGUGCCGUGAGGUGUCGGCUUAAGUGCCAUAACGAGCGCAACCCUCUCUGCCAGUUGCCAUCACGUUUAGGUGGGCACUCUGGCGGUACUGCCACCGUAAGGUGUGAGGAAGGUGGGGAUGACGUCAAAUCAGCACGGCCCUUACGUCCGGGGCUACACACGUGUUACAAUGGGGCAUACAGAAGGCCGGUCAUCCGCAAGUAUGAUCCAAUCUAUAAAGUGUCCCUCAGUUCGGAUUGGGUCUGCAACCCGACCCCAUGAAGCUGGAUUCGCUAGUAAUCGCGCAUCAGCCAUGGCGCGGUGAAUACGUUCCCGGGCCUUGUACACACCGCCCAA
rnacentral:rRNA from 1 species